AUGCAAAGCACAUUGUGCACCAAAGAGGUGACUCUUGGUGACGAAGGAGUUCAUGUCGUCGUCUUGCUCCAUGAAGAGCGGGUUGGUAGAAGUACUUGGCCUAUCCAUCAUUCCAGGACAAGUGUGAGUGGAAGAAAGGGAAGAACCAAUAUCAAAUGUACCUUGACCGAUGUUGAACAUGGAUCAAAGAUGACUCCAAUGUGUAACAAGGAAAUAGCACAAUUGGUACCAAUUCUUGUCGGUUCUCACACCUACACAAGUAAAAGCUUUUGGUGGAGCUUGGUUAGGAUGGUGGCACAAAAUUUGAUGCAAUUGUAA
rnacentral:rRNA from 1 species